GGCUUUGGAUUGAUCCAAGACAGCCAGGAGGUUUGCCUAGAAGCAGCCACCCUUGAAAGAGUGCGUAAUAGCUCACUGAUCGAGCGCUCUUGCGCCGAAGAUGAACGGGGCUAA
rnacentral:ncRNA from 1 species